AUCUUUAUUUCCCCUUUUCCUAGCAAACUCACCUGCAUGCCGAUUUUCAUUAGAACCAGACCCAUCUCCACCUUUUUUUUCCUCUCAAAACCUAUUCCUCAAAAUCCUCUCUUUAACUCCUAAAAUCCAAAUUCAGAAAUAGAUUCAUCUCAAAAUUCUCACUUUCCCUGUAGAUUCAUCUCCUUAUAGAUUCAUCUCAAGGAUAGACCAAAAUCCCCAAAUUCCAAAAUCAAUUUUAUGGUCGAGUCGAAGAAGCUGUCCAAACGAAGCUAGGUUUUCGUGAAACAAGCGCGAUUCUUGAUUGUAGAGGUUCUUAAAAAAGGGAGACUGUUGUUGCAUGUCUUCUGAUUAUUCUGAGAGGUGGAGCAAUUGAAGAAAGGGAAGAUGGAGAUUGUGAAGAUCUAGACCUUACUUAAGAACUUUGAAUUGUUGUCCAUGUUCUAGGAAUCUUUUGUUAUCAACAUUUGAACUCUAACUCUUGAAGUGUUGAAAUGUAAAACUUAUGUGAUUGGGUUAAAAUAUUUUGGUUUUAUGGAGAAAAUAUAGAUUAUGAAGUA